AUGGAACGCCGCCUGCGACAGCGAGAUUCCAGUGACCUGGACCUACCCGACGAUGUGCUCGCCGACGUGCUCCGCCAUCUCCCGCCGCGCUGCCUCGCCGUGUCGCGCUGCGUCAGCAAGGCCUGGCGCCGCGCCAUCGACCAGCGCCGCCUCCUGCGCCCGGACCUGCUCCCGCUCUCGCUCGCCGGCAUCUUCAUGAACUUCGGCUGCCACACAUUCUCAGAGUUCUUCUCCCGUCCCUCCUCCUCUUGCAAGAAGAUCAACGCCAAGCUUGACUUCUUGCCUCCCAUCGAGCACGAUCCCUAUGAGGAGGAGGACUAUACCGUCUUCGAGCACUGUAACGGUCUCCUCUUGACCAGCGAGUGCGUGGUCAACCCUGCUACGCGACGCUGGGAUCCUUUGCCUCCGCUCAUGCCCUUCACCGACCCCAUGGGGAUGAGCCGUGUUUUCGGUCGGUAUCUAGCUUUCGAUCCCACCUUGUCGCCUCACUACCAGGUGUUCAGGGUCCCUUAUCUGCCCCCGAGGCCUUGUCAGCCCGGAGACCGAGGCUACCGAGGUCCUGAGGAUUAUGUAGACCCUCUGGUCGACAAAUCUGAAUGGCCGCCGUCUACAUUCAUCUUGAAUGUCUUCUCGUCAAAGUCGUGUCGUUGGGAGGAGAGGUCUUUUGCUAGACAAGGUAAUGCUGCAGGGAUUGUUGCUGAGCUGCGACUGCGACUGCAACAUGGGUGGCACUAUGGUGCCGUCUAUUGGCGACGAGCACUUUACGUGCACAGUCAAAAUAAUUUUUUCUUGAGGAUAUCCUUGACAGACGAUACGUACCGUGUGAUCAAACCACCGACGGCUAUGGAUAUCAGGGUGCACUCUUGUCUAGGAAAAUCCAAAAAAGGGGUGUACAUUGCAUCAUUCAUUAAGGAUGUCUUUCGAGUUUGGGUCCUAAAUGAAUCGUAUGGUCAGACGAAGUGGGUGUUGAAGGGCGAAUAUGAUCUUAAGCGUGUGCAAGCGUUUGAUAAUGAUGUCCAUGGUCCCUGGGUCUUAGAAGACAUCAACUAUGAUUCAUUUCGUUCUCAGCUUCCAAAAGCCAACAAGAAAGCAAGAGUUGAAGAGUUUGAGUGGAGCUCAGAGAAUGAUGAUGAUGAUGACGAUGAUGCUGAUGACAAGAGUGAGAUUAUCGGAGAAAACAACUAUGAAACAUUUCGUUCACAACUUCCGGAAGUCAACAAGAAAGCAAUGGUUCAAGGGAGACUUGAGCGGAUGCGCGAUAACGAGGCUGUUGACGGCAACGAAGAGGAGCGCCACCGUGCAUGUGACGUGCUCGGAUUUCACCCCUACAAAGAGAUUCUCUUCUUGAGCUCCUUCAAGGAAAGAGAAUGGAAGGCUACAGUGCAUGCAUAUCAUUUAAAUAGCUCAAGGGUCGAAUGCUUAGGGAACAUGUGCCCAACACAAUACCAGCAAAUCGAAGAGCAAGAACAGCAGGAACUGGGAAACUGCGUCGGGUGGUUUUCUUCUUCUUCGUCGGGUGCAGAUCUGCGUCGGGUGGUUUUCUUCUUCUUCGUCGGGUGCAGAACUGCGUCGGGUGGUUUUCUUCUUCUUCUGGCAGGGGCACUUCUCUGGCAGGAGGAACUGCCUAAAUGGGGCGGCGGCGAAUGGGGAGGAGGUGAUCCACGGGACGAGGAGGAGGAAGAAGAAACGGAUCUGAUCCUCCAUUGCUCGAUGGCUUGCUUGCUUGGGGUGAUCGAGGAGGAGGAAGAAGAAAGAUGUCUUGUUGCAGAAAGUCACCGUGUUGCAUUGCUUGCGGUCGUGGCCUCGAGCAGAAGCUGGACUCUAGGUUACAUGAUUCAACAAAACAAUGGGAGGGCAAUUUUGAAACAUUUAAGAAACUGGACUCUAGGUUCUUUACUUCUAUUUGUUGUGUAUACGCACGGUCCCUGUUUCCUGCAUAUAUACGACGCAUUGUUCUUCCGUCUAUGCAUCCAGCUGUUCCGCGUACGGACGUACGUACUACCGGCCGGCACAUCCAAACUCCAGAUCGACCGACACAUCUCGGCAUCUCGAUCGAUGGAACGCCAGCGGCUGCAAGCUCGCCAAGACCACGACCUAGCCGACGAUGUGCUGGCCGACGUCCUCCGCUGGCUCCCGCCGCGCUGGCUCGCCGCGUCACGGUGCAUCUGCAAGGCCUGGCGCCACCUCCUCCACGCCGGCCUGCUCCCGCUCUCGCUCGCUGGCAUCUUCAUCCAGUUCGAGGAGCACGCAUUCCCGGAGUUCUUCGCCCGCCCCUCCUCUUCCCCGGUUCACACCAAGCUCGACUUCCUGCCUCCGGUCGUCUCCCCCUCCACCGAGAUAGGUGAUGGUUUCGAUGAAGGCUACUUCGAGCGAGACCACUGUAAUGGCCUCCUCUUGCUCAGCAACUACGUGGUUAACCCUGCCACGCGGCGCUGGGAUCCUCUGCCUCCUCGUCCAGACCUUGACCCCAUGGGGAUCGCUCAUGGUUUCGAUAUGUAUCUAUGUCACGGGAACAGCAAGCCCCGCCAGGAGAAGCCCAGCCCAGCUGGAACGGCCCAGGAGGGAGGCCAGGCCCAACCCAAGGGUGCAGGGCUCGGAGUGGACCAACACAUCCAGCUCCAGCCCGAGAGAUCCAUGGACGCCCUACCGGACGACGCUCUCGGCGAUGUUCUCCGCCGUCUUCCACCACGCUGGCUGGCCAAGUCGCGGUGCGUCUGCAAGGCCUGGCGCCGCACCGUCGACGAGCGCCGCAUCCUGCGCCCGGGCCUGCUCCCGCUCACGCUCGCCGGCAUCUUCAUCCAGUUCGACUCCCAUGCGUUCCCGGAGUUCUUCGCCCGCCCCUCUCCCUCAUCGGCCAAUACCAAGCUCGACUUCCAGCCUAUGAAGUGGAUGAUGAAGGGUGAAUAUGACCUUAAGCGUGUGCGAGCGUCGGAUCAGCGUGUUCAUGGUCCAGGGGUCUUACAAGACAUUAACUAUGAAUUCUUCCGUUCUCAACUUCCAGAAGUCAAGAAGAAAGUAAUGGUCCAAGAAAAAACUGAAUGGGACUCCGACAAUGACGGUGUAGACAACAUCAUAGACAUGGCCGAAGAGCGUAGCCAUGGGUGUGAUGUACUCGGAUUUCACCCGUUCAAAGAGAUUAUGUUCUUGAGCAGCUUCACGAAAGAAACAUGGGAGGCUACGGUACACGCCUACCAUUUGAAUAGCUCGAGGGUUGAAUGCUUUAGGCAACAUGCGCCCAGCAUGUUAUAA
rnacentral:rRNA from 1 species